ensembl:snoRNA
UCUGCCCCCUAGAGGCAUUACAGAUAUGACUGCUGUGUCAUGUUUGUAAUUAGGUGGCAAAGAGAGAAAGGCUAUGUCUACGCUCGGUGUUCUUAAAUUUGUGAGCACUUAGAAUGAUUUGAUAGCCUUACAGUA